rnacentral:tRNA from 1 species
GGGGAUUUAGCUCAGUGGUAGAGCGCUUGCCUAGCAAGCGCAAGGCCCUGUAUCCCCA